rnacentral:rRNA from 1 species
GACGAACGCUGGCGGCGUGCUUAACACAUGCAAGUCGAACGGAAAGGCCCUGCUUUUGUGGGGUGCUCGAGUGGCGAACGGGUGAGUAACACGUGAGUAACCUGCCCUUGACUUUGGGAUAACUUCAGGAAACUGGGGCUAAUACCGGAUAGGAGCUCCUGCUGCAUGGUGGGGGUUGGAAAGUUUCGGCGGUUGGGGAUGGACUCGCGGCUUAUCAGCUUGUUGGUGGGGUAGUGGCUUACCAAGGCUUUGACGGGUAGCCGGCCUGAGAGGGUGACCGGCCACAUUGGGACUGAGAUACGGCCCAGACUCCUACGGGAGGCAGAAGUGGGGAAUAUUGCAAAAUGGGCGGAAGCCUGAUGCAGCAACGCCGCGUGCGGGAUGACGGCCUUCGGGUUGUAAACCGCUUUCGCCUGUGACGAAGCGUGAGUGACGGUAAUGGGUAAAGAAGAACCGGCUAACUACGUG